rnacentral:rRNA from 1 species
GAUGAACGCUGGCGGCGUGCCUAAUACAUGCAAGUCGAGCGGACGGACGAGAAGCUUGCUUCUCUGAUGUUAGCGGCGGACGGGUGAGUAACACGUGGAUAACCUACAUAUAAGACUGGGAUAACUUCGGGAAACCGGAGCUAAUACCGGAUAAUAUUUUGAACCGCAUGGUUCAAAAGUGAAAGACGGUCUUGCUGUCACUUAUAGAUGGAUCCGCGCUGCAUUAGCUAGUUGGUAAGGUAACGGCUUACCAAGGCAACGAUGCAUAGCCGACCUGAGAGGGUGAUCGGCCACACUGGAACUGAGACACGGUCCAGACUCCUACGGGAGGCAGCAGUAGGGAAUCUUCCGCAAUGGGCGAAAGCCUGACGGAGCAACGCCGCGUGAGUGAUGAAGGUCUUCGGAUCGUAAAACUCUGUUAUUAGGGAAGAACAUAUGUGUAAGUAACUGUGCACAUCUUGACGGUACCUAAUCAGAAAGCCACGGCUAACUACGUG